rnacentral:rRNA from 1 species
CCUACGGGUGGCAGCAGUGGGGAAUAUUGGUCAAUGGGGGGAACCCUGAUCCAGCGACGCCGCGUGAGUGAAGAAGUCUUUCGGUAUGUAAAGCUCUAUCAGCAGGGAAGAAAAUGACGGUACCUGACUAAGAAGCCCCGGCUAACUACGUGCCAGCAGCCGCGGUAAUACGGAGGGGGCCAGCGUUAUCCGGAUUUACUGGGUGUAAAGGGGGCGUAGGCGGUGCAGCAAGUCUGAUGUGAAAGGUCGGGGCCCAAACGCGGGACUGCAUUUGAAACUGUUGAACUGGAGUACAGGAGAGGUAGGCGGAAUUCGUGGUGUAGCGGUGAAAUGCGUAGAUAUCAGGAGGAACACCGAUGGCGAAGGCGGCUUACUGGACUGUAACUGACGUUGAGGCUCGAAAGCGUGGGGAGCAAACAGGAUUAGAUACCCGAGUAGUC